UACAGAGGUCUCAAGCGUUGUUCGGAUUCAUUGGGCGUAAAGGGUGCGUAGGUGGCGCCGUAAGUCGGGUGUGAAAUUUCGGAGCUUAACUCCGAAACUGCAUUCGAUACUGCGGUGCUUGAGGACUGGAGAGGAGACUGGAAUUCAUGGUGUAGCGGUGAAAUGCGCAGAUAUCAGGAGGAACACCGAUGGCGAAGGCAGGUCUCUGGGCCGAUACUGACGCUGAGGAGCGAAAGCGUGGGGAGCAAACAGG
rnacentral:rRNA from 1 species